rnacentral:rRNA from 1 species
UACGAAGGGGGCUAGCGUUGCUCGGAAUUACUGGGCGUAAAGCGCACGUAGGCGGCUCUUUAAGUCGGGGGUGAAAUCCUGGAGCUCAACUCCAGAACUGCCUUCGAUACUGGAGAGCUUGAGUCCGGGAGAGGUGAGUGGAACUGCGAGUGUAGAGGUGAAAUUCGUAGAUAUUGGGAAGAACACCAGUGGCGAAGGCGGCUCACUGGUCCGAUACUGACGCUGAGGUGCGAAAGCGUGGGGAGCAAACAGG